rnacentral:rRNA from 1 species
GAUGAACGCUGGCGGCGUGCCUAAUACAUGCAAGUCGAGCGAACGGACGAGAAGCUUGCUUCUCUGAUGUUAGCGGCGGACGGGUGAGUAACACGUGGAUAACCUACCUAUAAGACUGGGAUAACUUCGGGAAACCGGAGCUAAUACCGGAUAAUAUUUUGAACCGCAUGGUUCAAAAGUGAAAGACGGUCUUGCUGUCACUUAUAGAUGGAUCCGCGCUGCAUUAGCUAGUUGGUAAGGUAACGGCUUACCAAGGCAACGAUGCAUAGCCGACCUGAGAGGGUGAUCGGCCACACUGGAACUGAGACACGGUCCAGACUCCUACGGGAGGCAGCAGUAGGGAAUCUUCCGCAAUGGGCGAAAGCCUGACGGAGCAACGCCGCGUGAGUGAUGAAGGUCUUCGGAUCGUAAAACUCUGUUAUUAGGGAAGAACAUAUGUGUAAGUAACUGUGCACAUCUGGACAGGACCUAAGCAGAAAGCCACGGCUAACUACGU